UACAGAGGGUGCAAGCGUUAAUCGGAAUUACUGGGCGUAAAGCGUGCGUAGACGGUUGCGUAAGUCAGAUGUGAAAGCCCCGGGCUCAACCUGGGAAUUGCAUUUGAGACUGCGUAGCUAGGGUGCGGAAGAGGGAAGCGGAAUUUCCGGUGUAGCGGUGAAAUGCGUAGAUAUCGGAAGGAACGCCGGUGGCGAAAGCGGCGUGCUGGAUCUCCACUGACGCUGAGGCGCGAAAGCCAGGGGAGCAAACGGG
rnacentral:rRNA from 1 species